rnacentral:rRNA from 1 species
CAAUAGCGUAUAUUAAUGUUGCUGCAGUUAAAAAGCUCGUAGUUGGAUUUCUGGUGGGAGCGAUCGGUCUGGCGCUUAGCGCGAGUACUUGCAUCGUCUCCGGCCAUCCUUGGGGAGAGUCUGUCUGGCAUUAGGUUGUCGGGCAGAGGAUCCUCAUCGUUUACUGUGAAAAAAUUAGAGUGUUCAAAGCAGGCUUAUGCCGUUGAAUAUAUUAGCAUGGAAUAAUAAGAUAGGACUUUGGUACUAUUUUGUUGGUUUGCGCACCAAAGUAAUGAUUAAUAGGGACAGUUGGGGGUAUUCGUAUUCCGUUGUCAGAGGUGAAAUUCUUGGAUUUACGGAAGACGAACUACUGCGAAAGCAUUUACCAAGGAUGUUUUCAUUAA